rnacentral:rRNA from 1 species
CUGUCUGGGAAAGCCUUUGCGGCAUGGGAUGGGGUCGCGUCCUAUCAGCUUGAUGGCGGGGUAACGGCCCACCAUGGCUUCGACGGGUAGCCGGCCUGAGAGGGCGACCGGCCACAUUGGGACUGAGAUACGGCCCAGACUCCUACGGGAGGCAGCAGUGGGGAAUAUUGCACAAUGGGCGCAAGCCUGAUGCAGCGACGCCGCGUGAGGGAUGGAGGCCUUCGGGUUGUAAACCUCUUUUGUUAGGGAGCAAGGCAUUUUGUGUUGAGUGUACCUUUCGAAUAAGCACCGGCUAACUACGUGCCAGCAGCCGCGGUAAUACGUAGGGUGCAAGCGUUAUCCGGAAUUAUUGGGCGUAAAGGGCUCGUAGGCGGUUCGUCGCGUCCGGUGUGAAAGUCCAUCGCUUAACGGUGGAUCCGCGCCGGGUACGGGCGGGCUUGAGUGCGGUAGGGGAGACUGGAAUUCCCGGUGUAACGGUGGAAUGUGUAGAUA